rnacentral:rRNA from 1 species
AUUGAACGCUGGCGGCAUGCCUAACACAUGCAAGUCGAACGGCAGCACAGCCCGCAAGGGUGGGUGGCGAGUGGCGGACGGGUGAGGAAUACAUGGGAAUCUACCCUGUCGUGGGGGAUAACGUAGGGAAACUUACGCUAAUACCGCAUACGACCUCCGGGUGAAAGCGGCGGACCGCAAGGCGUCGCGCGACUGGAUGAGCCCAUGUCGGAUUAGCGAGUUGGCGGGGUAAAGGCCCACCAAGGCGACGAUCCGUAGCUGGUCUGAGAGGAUGAGCAGCCACACUGAAACUGGGACACGGUCCAGAAGCCUACGGGAGGCAGCAGUGGGGAAUAUUAGACAAUGGGCGCAAGCCUGAUCCAGCAAUGCCGCGUGGGUGAAGAAGGCCUUCGGGUUGUAAAGCCCUUUUGUACGGGAAGAAAUCCUGUCGGUUAAUACCCGGCGGGGAUGACGGUACCGUAAGAAUAAGCACCGGCUAACUUCGUGCCAGCCGCCGCGGUAA